UACCUACGGGACGCAGCAGUGAGGAAUAUUGGUCAAUGGGCGCAAGCCUGAACCAGCCAAGUCGCGUGAGGGAUGACGGUCCUAUGGAUUGUAAACCUCUUUUGUCGGGGAGCAAGGCCCGCCACGUGUGGCGGGAAGGAGAGUACCCGAAGAAAAAGCAUCGGCUAACUCCGUGCCAGCAGCCGCGGUAAUACGGAGGAUGCGAGCGUUAUCCGGAUUUAUUGGGGUUAAAGGGUGCGGAGGCGGAAGGGUAAGUCAGCGGGCAAAUUCCGGUGCUCAAACCCGG
rnacentral:rRNA from 1 species